UCAGAGAAAAUUAUCAUCCCUCCCAUUUUGCAGUGCCACAGGAAAAGCAGAGGCAUGGAGAGCUACAGCCCAAAUACUCUGUGGAAGUAAAUACUAGUUGUACAUGGACACCUUUGUUGCAGUUGUUAAAGAGCAGAGCUUUUUCCUUCUCAAAAUCCAGAAGUCCAGUUAUCAAUUUAAAAGAAGUUCCUGCAGUCUGGACUUUUGCUUCAGAGAGCCUGAAGACUUGGUGAAUUUUUUUACCCUAGAUGAAAAUUUUCCUGUUAGUUCUAUGCCCAAUGUCUGUUGAUACUCUGUGCAGGAUUUUAUUUUGUUUGUAAUAAUCAGAUUGACAUCUAUGUUUCCAGUGACUACUUGGAUGAAAUAAAGAAGUUUUAGAGGUUCAGCAUGAUCUCUGCCUUUGAGGAGGGCUAAGGAGAUCUUUAACAUAAUUUUCAGAGCUUUCUGAUGCUGGGCUUUACUACAGAAAGCAAUCAUGCUGCACACUGCACACUGAAGAGCAUGCAGUGGAAUUGAAGUAAUUCUCUGGCAUGAAUUUUCUGGUUCUGUGCUCUCAGCUGCGUGCAUCACCUCCCUCCUUGCUGAUUGGUGAGCAGCUCCAUGUAAUCAGCUCAUGCAGUAUUUCAUAAAUCCCAUUUUCAGGCGCGUUCUGGCCUGUGCAUUCUGUUCCACAUCUGCACAUCUGCUCUUCCUGGGGAGACAUUCAUUUGUCUUCUGCUGGGUUACAAACUUCCCAAUCGUUCAUCUAUUGUCUGAGUGCUUGCCUGUCACAUCUGAGCCUCCUGACACCAGCACUCAUUGCCUGCCCAGCAGCUCUUCCCUGUCUGUGCUUCACUUACACUCUCUGUGCCACCCUGCCUUACCUUAUGUAAUGGCUCGUAAAGGAGACCACAAGGAGGUCAGAAAUACAUGUUGUCAGUAAAAUGAGAUAUUUCUCUUCCAAUCACGUUUUCCUCAAAUAUUCCUGUUCCACUGGAAGCAUUAAAAUCCUGGCUUUCCUCUAUAAGUAAAUAUAUGGAUGUUCCACCAUACAGUAUCUGCAAGUGCUAGCAUAUCAUAAAUUAUUGAAAGCAGAUAAAAUACACUCAGAUGUGAUCAGUUAGAGUUUAGCCAAUUUUACUGCAGUCUGCAGGCUGGCAGGAGCACAAGGAUGCUUUUUCUUGUGGUAGUAGAAGCUGAAGCAAGGAGAUUAAAGAUUGACUACCGGGUCAAUGUAAUGUGUAAUGAAUGCAAGGGUCUGAAUGCAGUUUAAAUACACAUAAACCUGGAUUUUGCCCUAAAAUACUGGGAAAAAAAAUUGAGUAGUCUACCUGAUAUAAAUGGGUUCCCUCAAUCUUUCACCUGAGUACUUGCAGAGAGGAAAGUCUGGAAACAGAAUCUGUGUGUAUUUCUGGGGAGAAUUUAGGUGCUUAGCCUUGACCCUACUAAGAGGUUUCGGAGUCAUUUUCGGAUUGGCUCUGACUGCAUUGUUUGUUUUCUAAUGCAUAAUAAGAUUUCAUUGUUACUUACAUCUUUGGAUUAAGGACUAUAAUCUGUUGAUCCCUAAAAUGUCAUCAGAUAAUCUGUUUAAUCAUAAGCGAAAGCUGAUCUUGAUAGUCCAUAUGAGUUAUGCAAAUUAAAUCAGGCACAUUAUUACCAUGCAAGUAUAGAAGCUUUCAGCAGAGCUCUCUUUCUCAUUAGUCCACAAUUAAAAUUAGGUUUUUGUUAGGCUUUAAAUUCGCAUAUCUUUGUCCUGAGGUAUAUUUGAAAUCUCUCAUGGAGCCUGACAUUAAAUUUUGGCACUGUAAAACAUCUUAAUUUUGUAGCAAGUGUCUGAAAUAUUUAUGAUCCACUCGGUAGUGGUUUCGCGAUUAAUUUUAAAUUAUUGAUCGCACAAUUAUCUAGGCAGGCCCAAACUCCACGGAGUUCCAUGGCAGCGGUGUUCUCUCCCCAGGUGUGACACCGGGAAGGCGCCGCUGCCUCCCGCCAGCUCCAGCUCUCCACAGCAGAGGGCGCAGCUCACCGGGCUUCACCUCUGGACAAAAGACGGCGUCAGAGCGAAUCCCUCUCUGGUUUUUUCGGGAAAAAAAAAUAUCCCUGUGUAUCCCGUAUAGAAGGAAUUGGUAAACUGGCUAGUAAUGUUACCUCAAGGCUUAACUGCUGCGUAUUGCUGGGCUUGGAAAAGCUUUGAUUGCUGACAGCCCAUCGUCUUAGCAGUUCACUUGUCCUGCUUGGCUCUCAGGAAAUAUUAUUUGAAGCUCCGGGACUGGUUUGAGUUUGCAAACACAUUGACUAACCCCUAUGGCUCUCAUGUCCCACCUGAUAUUUGCGUCAUCUUUAUUACAACUAAACCUCAAUGAAUUUAAGAAGGCUCCUGUAUUUAAAGUUGCCCUUCUUGGCAACUAACUGAAUUUUCCUGUGGUUCCCACAGAGGGGAAAGUGACCCUCACCUUUUCCCCUCACCAGAGGAAGGUGAAUAUCACCAUUGCAUUAUUUUACCUGUGGGUAGGGGUAGAGGAAGAACCUGAACACUUCCUGUUAGAAUUUCAUGUUCAGAAGCUGUACUCUGAGCCAAACUCCAUUUCCAGAAAAAGUCUGUACAGCUCAAUCCUUUGUAAUUUCUUUCUGAGUCAUCAGCCCUGUAGGAACGAGCGUCUGCACUUGGAUGAAGCCUUUAAAGAACUGAGCUGGAGGCACAACUGACAAUGAGCAAAGAAAAUGAAGUCUGUAGUAGACCCAGCAUCACGUAGGAAUAUUUCUGUUGCUCAUCCCUGUUCUCUUGCCUCAGGCUGCUUUGGACUAGUUUGACAUUCAGGCCUCCUAUUGUGAAAUGCUGAAGUAAGCAGACCUGUGUCUGUAAUGCAGCCAAUGUCAAGGAACCUGUUCCUGAUUAGAUCUUGGUGCUGUAAUACGCUGUACUUGAUUCCUGCCUGGCAGCUCCUGUGCCAAGGGAAGUAUUUCCAGGCAUUUGGUUUCUCUGGUUUUAUGUUCAGAAGCUAUUAUCCUCUGGCUCUCCCAGGAAUUCCCAUGUGGUAUAGACUGAGCUGUUAUUUGUACCUGGAGUGCUUGACUGCUGCAUCAGACACCUGCAGUCUGCAUUUCCUCCUUCCUCUCCAGCAGCAGCAACCAGGCAGCAGAGAGCCAGUUGCUGUAUUGGUAUUAUGUGUACGUCAUAAAUCAAAAUUCUGUGUUCAGAUGUAGAAAUCCUGUACUCACAAUGAUCCAUUUCUUCGUGGUGUUGCAAAACAAUUUGUCCCAGAUCCAGAUUCCAGCCCGCAGGGGGCAGCCUGACCCCGUGUUUUACUCCAGUGAUGUGCUUAACUUGGGAAUUUGGUCAUCUGCUGGCAUCUCCAUCGGCGUGACUUGCUGUGGAAUAAACAACUGAAUGUUGUGGAGAAUUGGCAGCAGUUUUAAGCUCAAACACAUUCAAAAGUGAAGUAAAAAAAAAAGCGUGACUGAAUUAAACCUUCUGGUUU